rnacentral:rRNA from 1 species
AACGAACGCUGGCGGCAGGCUUAACACAUGCAAGUCGAGCGCCCCGCCAGGGAAGCGGCAGUCGGGUGAGUAACGCGUGGGAACGUACCUUUUGGUUCGGCACAACUCCGGGUAACUGGAGCUAUUACCGGAUAAGCCCUAACGGGGAAAGGUUUAUCGCCGAACGAUCGGCCCGCGUCUGCUUAGCUGGUUGGUAAGGUAACUGCGCACCAAUGCGACGAUCUGUAGCUGGUCUGAGAGGAAGAGCAGCCACACUGGGGCUAAGCCACGGCCCAGAAUCCUAGGCAAGGGGGGAGAGGGGAAUACAGGACAAUGGGGGCAGGCCAGAUCCAGUCAGGGCGGGUGAGUGAUGAAGGUCGGAGAGAAGUACAGCACUUUUGUCCGGGAAGGUAAUGACGGUACCGGAAGAAUAAGCACCGGCUAACUUCGUG